ensembl:snoRNA
ACUCUUUUGUGGUUCAUAAGUGUGAUGAUGGGGUGUUCACAGGAAUGUGUGAGAUGUGUCACCUUCAAACCUUGUUGUGUCAUUUUUCUGCCUGCCU